UGUGGAUUGGGGUAGUGACCUGUCUUUGCACUGCUUCAGCUCUAGCUGUCCUGUUAAUACGAAAACUACGGAGCCGAUCCUUCAGACUGUCACACAGAGACCAGGAGAAGACUGAGGUUCCUCAAACUGCAGACGCUGACACGGUCAAAGUUCCUUUGGUCACACCAGAGAAGAGUUCGGUCAGAGAACGGACACCUCAUUCGAAAUCGCAGCAGAGAAAAGGGACAGACCCUGAGUCGUAUUCAACAGCCAGAAGAAUUCAAUCUGACCAGGUCAAAGUAGCAUUUCUCCCACCAGAGAAGAGUUCAGUCAGAGAACAGUCACCUCCUUUGAAAUUGGAGCAGAAUAAAGAGACAGACCACCUGUCGUCUUCAAUAGCCAGAAGACUUCAAUAUGACCAGUAGGUGGACCUCAGGUCUCCACUGAAAGUCCAAUGAACGGGGGUAUCCAGCACUUCUACAACAGUCUUCAGACAUAUCCUGUGGUGAAUCUCCAGAGAACUGGCUCCAGACCUUCUCCACAGUUUUCCUUUCACACAUGCACGAUGCAUACGCUAUACGGACCCAGAAAUAUUAUUAUGUUUUCAUGGAGCGUUUCUGUAUUAACCCGCGCAGCUUUUUUGUCUCUUUGCGGUAGUAAAUCCUGGCAGCAAACGGUAAAUUUUACUUCUCUUACUGAACAAGAGAAAGUUGGAACAAAGAGAAAAGUUAAAGGGAUUUAGUUGUUAAUAUAUGUCGAGAUUGUUCAAAUGUGAAAUGUACUAAAGAAAAACUAAGAAAAGGAGAAACUCAAACUACAUAUUUUUAUUUUCUUCCCAAAUUAAGCACGUUAUUUUAAGAUUCCUUUUUCUGAAGCUCCUCACGCAGUAAAGUAAGAACUUAAAUGUCCUGAAUCAAUGUUUAUCUGUAUGAAUCUGUAAAGUUUAAAUCGGAAAUUAUAUUUAAAAAACAAAUUUUUCUGCAAA